UAUUUAUUGGAUGUUGAUCAUCACAUGUUGCGUUUUUAUUGAACGUUAAUUUUGUGCACCUAAUUAAGGUCAAUCUCCAAUAAAAGCACGACCCGUGACGAUCAACAUCCAAUAAAAAUGUGACAUGUGACGGUCAAGACAA
rfam:Glycine soja cultivar W05 scaffold5673_33, whole genome shotgun sequence.